UUGAUGUUCAUAAAGUCCCAAACUUCUUGUCUUAGAUUUGUCUAGAUACGGAUGUAUCAAGUCACAUUUUAGUAUUAGAUACAUCCGUAUCUAGAAAAAUCUAAGAAAAGAAAUUUGGGAUAGAGGGAGUAGUUG
rnacentral:pre_miRNA from 1 species